rnacentral:misc_RNA from 1 species
UCAUUAUAAAGAUUAGUACUUCAGUCGGCAGUAGCUGAGUUAUUUAGUAUUUGUCUUAUUCCACAUCCAUUUGUUAUAAGAAAAUUGCCCGAGUUAGUUUUUAAAAUCGAGUUAAGCUUUGUUUAUUUUUUGUUUUAAUGCCUAUUUUUAUUUUGAUAUUAAGCUACUUGCAAACGUUCAAAUGUUUAUUUCUAUGCGUGAAGAGAGUAAGAUAUGAAGAUGUUGAAGGGUUUAUAUAAUUUAGGUUUAAGUGCAAUUGGAUUAACCAUUUUAAGUAAUUUUAGAUUAAGUGAGGUUUUUAUCUUUCAUCUCAAACAGAUCUUUGAUUAGGACAUUGCAAUUUCAAAGUCAAAAGCUGGCCUGGAUUUAAUUAAACACUAGUUUUGACUUGUUUCUCCAUUGCUGAAAAUGGAAGCACAGCUGUGUGUACAUUAAUUCUUACAAG